rnacentral:antisense_RNA from 1 species
CUUGACCGACCCGAUCCACAGCGGUUCCGCCCGGUCGCGGCCGUAGGCGGCCAGCAGCGCCUGGGCCUC